AAGUCGUAACAAGGUAACCGUAGGUGAACCUGCGGUUGGAUCAUUAGUGGUUUUUACGCAGCGCUGUUGUAGUGUUUCUGUGUGGUGUUUGUGGUUGGUCUUUGAGUUUGUUGUUGGUUGUUUGUCUGUUUUGUGCAUUGCCUUGUGCCUUGGCUUGUGCGAUGUCUUGUGCAUUGCCUUGUGCGGUGCCUGGCAGUACAAACGAUCGACGGCAACACUCGGACCAGACCCAAGCCCUUGCAGACAAUAGACGUCUUUGCUUGCUUUGAUGAAACCAAAUCAAAAACAACUUUUGACAACGGAUCUCUUGGCUCUC
rnacentral:misc_RNA from 1 species